rnacentral:rRNA from 1 species
GAUCAUGGCUCAGGAUGAACGCUAGCUACAGGCUAACACAUGCAAGUCGAGGGGCAUCAUAGUCAAAGCUUGCUUGAUUGAUGGCGACCGGCGCACGGGUGAGUAACGCGUAUCCAACCUUCCCCUUAGUAGGGCAUAGCCCGGCGAAAGUCGGAUUAAUACCCUAUGUUGUGCCAUGAGGACAUCUGAAUAACACUAAAGAUUUAUCGCUAAGGGAUGGGGAUGCGUCCGAUUAGCUGCCGGCGGGGUAACGGCCACCGGGGCGACGAUCGGUAGGGGUUCUGAGAGGAAGGUCCCCCACACUGGUACUGAGACACGGACCAGACUCCUACGGGAGGCAGCAGUGAGGAAUAUUGGUCAAUGGGCGAGAGCCUGAACCAGCCAAGUAGCGUGCAGGAUGACGGCCCUAUGGGUUGUAAACUGCUUUUAUGCGGGGAUAAAGUGACGUACGUGUACGUUUUUGUAGGUACCGCAUGAAUAAGGACCGGCUAAUUCCGUGCCAGCAGCCGC